ACGAACGCUGGCGGCGUGCUUAACACAUGCAAGUCGAACGGAAAGGCCCUGCUUUUGUGGGGUGCUCGAGUGGCGACCGGGUGAGUAACACGUGAGUAACCUGCCCUUGACUUUGGGAUAACUUCAGGAAACUGGGGCUAAUACCGGAUAGGAGCUCCUCCUGCAUGGUGGGGGUUGGAAAGUUUCGGCGGUUGGGGAUGGACUCGCGGGUUAUCAGCUUGUUGGUGGGGUAGUGGCUUACCAAGGCUUUGACGGGUAGCCGACCUGAGAGGGCGACCGGGCACAUUGGGACUGAGGGACGGCGCAGACUCCAACGGGAGGCAGCAGUGGAGAAUAUGACACAAUGGGCGGAAGCCUGAUGCAACAACGCCGCGUGCGUGAUGACGGCCUACGGGGUGUAAACCACUUUCGCCUGUGACGAAGCGUGAGUGACGGUAAUUGGUAAGAAAGCAACGGCUAACUACGUG
rnacentral:rRNA from 1 species